rnacentral:rRNA from 1 species
AUGCAAGACUACUUCGCGGAGAAUCCAACAUAUCCGCCGCACCUCUUUCGGAGAAGGUACAGAAUGCGCCGACCUGUCUUUGUGAAAAUUGUUCAAGCUUGCGAGGCAAAUUGUCGGUACUUUACUCAAAGAAAAAAUGCUGCGAGUUUGAAGGGAUUUAGUGCAUAUCAAAAAAUCUCGGCAGCUAUGCGGGUGAUUGCAUACGGCGUUCCGGCUGACUAUGCCGAUGAGUACCUUCGCAUUGGUGAAGAUACCACAAUUGAGUCAGUGCGUAGGUAG